AGAAAUGAAGCCGGGAACCUGCGGGGCUGGGGGCGGGGAGGGCGCAGAGCCACAGCAAAGGCCAGAAACUGGAGCGCGGCCCCGAGGCCCUGGCGAGCUGGGGCUGGGGGAGGAGAAGUCCCUUCCCAUUCCAGCUCGAUCAAUCUUCCUUGGCUGCGAUCGGUCAAUAAAAAUGGUGUGAAUCGGCCGCGGUCGCCGUGCGUCUGGGGAGGAAGUGGAGGCCAGAGGUGCCGAGGCCGGCGCCGGCGCCCCGCACAAGCCCGGUUCGCGCCCGUGGCGGUCUGCAAGCCUCAGGCCGGCGGCCAGUUCGUCGCCGGGAGCCGAACGCGGCCCGGCGGGGCCUUUAAUUGGGUGUCUCCAUUUUUAUAGUGGCCAUUGUUGGAGCAAUUAGCGAGAGACAAUAAGCGCCAAGAGGCGUUUAAUUCGAUUCUGUGCGCCGGCUGCGGCCAGGACCAGGGCUCUGUGGAAAAAGUGGCUGGCCCAGGAGGGACGCUCUGGUUCAGUGCCGGCGCCCUUGCCGGUUUUGUCUUGGGUUUGGGAGUUCUCAAGGGGCAAGUUGAAAGCCGAGUGAGAGCAACCAGGUCCUGGUCCUGGUCCUGGACUGGGGAAACCCGUCUUGGGCCUCGUUAGCCCUGCGGGGCGUCCCCGGAACCUCCGCGCCUGCGGGCGGCACGCGUCCGAGCUGUUGCCACCGAGAGGUCCCUGUUAAAGGGAGAAAAGCAGAGAGGACAGGGACGUGGAAACCGGCUUCCUUCCUCCUUCGCCCUGGGUCCCCCACCUCGAUCGCCCGAACUGCGUUCCAAUUUCCUUCCCCAUUGGGGGAGGAGGGGCAAACGAGAUAACCCCCUUCUGGCGCGUACCACACCUCCCUCUCCACUCAGCCAGCCUCCCUACCCCCUCCUCUGCCUGGGCCCUCGGAUUAGGUUACCGUGGCCGGGCGAGGAUUUUUACUGGAUACGAGAAUAGCACAGUUCCCACCCAAGAGUCCUUCUUUCCCGUAUGAGCUGAAAUGCAGGAGGUGGAGAGCGAACUCAAAAAAGGUGAUGGGAAAGAAGGAGGCAGUGAGCAGUGCUGACUGUUCACUUCAAACGAAAUAUAAGCGAGCAGGGAACUGGUCGGGGGAGGGGGGCGGACGCAGAAUAAAGAGGACUUCAAAAUUCACUGGCAAAGGAAAGAUGCUAGAGGUGGGAACGGCAAGGGGGAAACCCGAAGGAACUCAGGCGAAAAGCGCUCCCCGCACGCGCACCGCUCUUCCCGGUUCCCACCCACCCAGGCCUAGGGUCAACCUGCCCUGGAAAAUAAACUGAGGCAGCGCUUUGGGGGUGGUAUGUGGUUUGAUUUACGUUUUUUUUUCUUUUUUUGCUUAUUCAUCUAUCACCGUUUAAAACUCGGAAGGAAACCCGCCCGGGCCAGGAGGAGCGGCGAGAGAUGUCGGAAGGGAGACGCGCUCCGAAAUCACCCCCUCCCAACCCGCCCCCACCGACAGGCUGGGCCCUCCAGCUUCGAGGGAUCCUGGCCCUCCCUCGGCUGCUCCCCUCUUCUUCCCGUAGAGAAAAACCCUGAUCGUAGCGAGAUAAAAAUUGGGGUGGAGAUCGCACAGUAAAAUCUGGAUCUGCUCAUCCUUCACCCUUCCCGCCAUCUGGGAUUGCACCCCGCCGUCUCUCCCCGCCAGGCCCUGGCUCGCGCUCAGCCCUCCGCUGCCUGCCACCUCGCGGACCCCAAGCAAUUUGUUACAUAAAACAGAACAGCCGCCACCCACGUGUGCCUGCAGACCCGCAGCGACAGACACCCAGGAGACCUCCGCUCACGCGCCUUGGGCAACGUGUUUUUCUGGUCCAACCACCGCACACACACUCCCACCACCACCACCUCUAGUCCCCGCUGCCCAGCGGCCAGAAGUGAAAAGUGGGGUACGGACUCUAGAUCUGGGGCUUUCUUGGCCCACCCGCUGCGGUUGGUAAACCGCUCUCCAAUUACUCUCGCCAUUAAGAAAAAGAGACGAUCAGAAAUAUUUGGUCCGUGCACAAUGACGUACCACGAAAGGAAUGCACUUUUAUGUGUGAAAGGGCUUGGACGCGGAGACCACACCUGAGCACAGUCCAGAAAUGGUUAGAAUAACCAGCUGCCAGAGAACACUGGGCCUUUGGACUCUGUCUCCAUAGUCUUGUCAGGAUCCCUAAUUCUCUGACACCUCCCGCGGUUUUCGGCACAAAUUGCCUUAACUUCCAGAAGAGUGGUUUUCAUCCACCCGGCUCCCACGUACCGCCCCCCUCCCCAGGCCGUUCUGGGUGGCCCUGUGCUCCUCGGCAUCCCGCAGAGAUGCUCCACCAAUGUGGGCCCAGGGCCCCCACUCUCCUCCUUUCACUGCACCCCCAACUCACCCCCAUCUCCUAUAUCGUUUGCAAAAAUGCAGGAUGGAAAUAUCAAAUAAAGCAAAAUGCAGCUUC